GGAAUCUGGACCUCCACUCCUCCCCACCAGCUACACAGGAGGGUAGAAAGUCACCUCAGUCCUCCUGGUGGUUCACUGUGAUAUCACUGACUGUAUGUCCCUCCUCCUCUCCCCCAGUGUGAGGAUGAGUUCACUGUGAAUUUAAAUGAGGCCUGCAGGAUGCGUGCCCUCCAGGCAGCGUGAUGGAGAAGCUGACAGAGUCCAUGGCACCAGCUUUCCUGAGUAGGAACAUGUCCAGCUUCACCACCUUCAUGAUCAACUACUCGGCCUUAGACACAUCCCACCGGGUCCUGGACCAGCUGUUUACUAGGUCCUGUCUUCCAUGGAACAUCCCAAGUGAUGCCCUGAUAGCCUCCUUUAUAGCUGGAGGCAUCUUCCCUUAUUCCAGCCAGGAGGGCAGAGCACAGGCCCAUCUAAAAAAAUGAAUGGCUUCUCUGGUG